GACGAACGCUGGCGGCGUGCUUAACACAUGCAAGUCGAACGAUGAAGAAGAGAAACGCGAACUUCGGUUCAAAUUUCACUUCGGAUUAGUGGCAGACGGGUGAGUAACGCGUGAGCAACCUACCUCUUACAAAGGGAUAGCCUCGGGAAACCGAGAUUAAUACCAUAUGACACAUUCAUAAGGCAUCGUAAGAAUGUUAAAGCUACGGCGGUACGAGAUGGGCUGGCGUAGCAUUAGCUAGUAGGUGAGGUAACGGCCCACCAAGGGGACGAUGGGUACCCGGCAUGAGAGAGUGAGCGGUGACACUGGAGCGGAGCAGCGGUCGAAACUCCUACGGGAGGCGGCAAAGGGUGAUGGUGCACAAUCGAGUGAACGAUGAUGCUGCGACGACGGGAGAGCGAUGUAGGUAUGCAUUACGUAAAGCGCUGUUAUAUGGGAAGAAAAGGACUGUACCAUAGGAGAAAGCCCCGGCUAAAUACGUG
rnacentral:rRNA from 1 species